rnacentral:rRNA from 1 species
UACAGAGGUCUCAAGCGUUGUUCGGAUUCAUUGGGCGUAAAGGGUGCGUAGGCGGCUACUUAAGUCGGAUGUGAAAGCCCUUGGCUCAACUGAGGAAGUGCACCCGAAACUGAGUGGCUUGAGUACUAAAGAGGGUCGCGGAAUUCCCGGUGUAGAGGUGAAAUUCGUAGAUAUCGGGAGGAACACCGGUGGCGAAGGCGGCGACCUGGGUAGAUACUGACGCUGAGGCGCGAAAGCGUGGGGAGCAAACAGG